rnacentral:rRNA from 1 species
UACGGAGGGGACUAGCGUUAUCCGGAGUUACUGGGCGUAAAGGGCGUGUAGGCGGUCGACUAAGUCUGGCGUGAAAGCUCGCGGCUAAACCGCGAGAGGUCGUUGGAUACUGGUUGACUAGAGGACGGUAGAGGCGUGUGGAAUUCCGGGUGUAGUGGUGAAAUGCGUAGAGAUCCGGAGGAACACCAGUGGCGAAGGCGACACGCUGGGCCGUACCUGACGCUAAAACGCGACAGCAUGGGGAGCGAACGGG